rnacentral:lncRNA from 1 species
GGAUACUAUUAAGACAAGGCUGCAGAGUCCCCAGGGAUUUAACCAGGCUGGCGGCUUUCGUGGAAUAUAUGCUGGUGUCCCUUCUGCAGCUAUUGGAUCCUUUCCUAAUGCUGCUGCGUUUUUUCUCACCUAUGAAUAUGUGAAAUCUUUGCUACACACCGACUCAACUUCACACUUCAGACCCAUGAAGCACAUGCUGGCCGCCUCUACAGGAGAAGUGUGAAAUGCUCUGUUGUCCCUCACAUUGAAAUUGAAGAAAAUAAAACCCCAAAUGGAAGGCAUGGAGGAACAGGUGGAGAUAGGCGAGGCAUUUCUUUGUAGACUGUCUUGGGCCGGAAUUGCCAUGCCACAGAAGUCAGACACCAUGCUGGGGCCUUUGUACCAGGCGAUGGGCAAGACUGGUUUUCAUUUGAGAACCUUUUCCAAGUUUUUCUUUUGUUUCUGUAUUUUUAAGAAAUAAAAAUGUAAUCUAAGAGC